rnacentral:rRNA from 1 species
AGAAUCAACGCUGGCGGCGUGCCUAACACAUGCAAGUCGCACGAGAAAGGGGACUUCGGUCCCUGAGUACAGUGGCGCACGGGUGAGUAACACGUGAAUCAUCUACCUUCGAGUGGGGAAUAACUGAGAGAAAUCUUAGCUAAUACCGCAUAAUACCUACGGGUCAAAGCAGCAAUGCGCUUGAAGAGGAGUUCGCGGCAGAUUAGUUAGUUGGCGGGGUAAUGGCCCACCAAGACGAUGAUCUGUAUCCGGCCUGAGAGGGCGCACGGACACACUGGAACUGAAACACGGUCCAGACUCCUACGGGAGGCAGCAGUGGGGAAUUUUGCGCAAUGGGGGAAACCCUGACGCAGCAACGCCGCGUGGAGGAUGAAAUCCCUUGGGAUGUAAACUCCUUUCGAUCGGGAAGAUAAUGACGGUACCGAGAGAAGAAGCCCCGGCUAACUUCGCGCCAGCAGCCGC